UACGGCGGGUGCGAGCGUUGUCCGGAAUCACUGGGCGUAAAGGGCGCGUAGGCGGCCUGAUAAGUAGGGGGUGAAAUCCUGCGGCUUAACCGCAGGGCUGCCUUCUAGACUGUCAGGCUAGAGCACAGUAGAGGCAGGUGGAAUUCCCGGUGUAGCGGUGGAAUGCGUAGAGAUCGGGAAGAACAUCAGUGGCGAAGGCGGCCUGCUGGGCUGUUGCUGACGCUGAGGCGCGACAGCGUGGGGAGCAAACAGG
rnacentral:rRNA from 1 species